GGCCUCGUAGCUCAGCUGGUAGAGCGUGCGCGGCGAAAACGUGCGUCCAUACGUGGGUUCGAAUCUCACCGAGGCUA
rnacentral:tRNA from 1 species